rnacentral:tRNA from 1 species
AAAUAAGAAGUAAAAUAUUACAUUUAGUUUCGACCUAAAAAUUUGGUGAUCAUUUAUUCACCCUUAUUUA